rnacentral:misc_RNA from 1 species
GCCCCAUCAAUGUCCGACGAUGAUGGAACCUGAAACAGGCUCCGGACAGUUCGAAACUAGCUGCAUGCUUUCUGUAUACACUAGUAUACACUAUUAAUAUAUUGAUAAACAGGUCAAAAUGCAACAAAUACUAGUAAAAAAAGAAUAUACAGGUUGGAGGCGUCAAGUUGUACUGUAUAUAGUUGAUAUAUGAGCUGAUAUGGAGGAAGUGGUGCUGAUAUGCGAUCUGUAUACACUGAUAUACGGAUUGUGUAUACAAACUGGGAUUAGGUUAAAACCCAAAAAUCUGCAGCGAAAUUGGUCCAAGAAGGGGCCCAAUUUCAUUAUCUCUUUCACUCUCCUAAUUGUUUUGAUUAUA